AGACCCACCGAGGACAGCUCAGCAGGGCUGAGGAACACUCUGCUGCUCAGGCCCCCGACUGAUAAGUGAUUGAGACUGUCUGUGAAUCAUGGAUACUUGGACAUGCUGAGCCUGGGGAAGAAUCACCCUGGACUGAUGCCCGAACCGAAUAGGCCUGAUCCAGCUGGCCUUUCCAGGUCUCAAGUACAAACCGAUGGCACGGAUCUCUCUGGACACCACAGGGAUGUGGAGGCGAGAGUGAAGUCUUGGAGCACACAGAUGAUACUUCAAGUCCUGAUUCUGCCACUUGCUCAGUGGGUGACCUUGGAGAUGGAAUUUCACCAUGUUGCCUGGGCUUGUCUCGAACUCCUGAGCUCAAGUGAUCUGCCUGCCCGCCUCAGCCUCCCAAAGUGCUAGGAUUACAGAUGAAUGGAAAAAACGAUGGGUGCAGUCUAAACAUCAGCCGGAUUAUGGUAAAUUUCAGCUCGCUGCAGGAUAAUUUUAUGGAGACAAAGAAAAAGAUAAAGGUCUCCAAACCAGUGAACAUGCCAAGUUUUAUGCCUUCUCAACCAGGUUGAAGCAUUCAGCAAUGAGAAUGAGACCUUGGUGUUUCAGUUUUCAGUAAAACACAAGCAAAGGAAGUAUUGUGGUGGCGGAUAUGUAAAACUCUUUCCUGCCACCCUGAACCAGGAGGAUAUGCACUCAGGAUCCAAGUAUCACAUCAUGUUUGGCCCUGACAUUUGUGGCUUUGGCAACAACAAAGUACAGGUCAUCCCUCAUUACUGAGAGAAAUACCAUGAGAACAAGACCAUCAAGUGCAGGGUGAGUGUGUGCUGGUCCUCAGCCAAGGGGGAAGGAGAUGCAUUUUAUAUGUGUUAUCUCAUUUAAUUCUUACAAAAUCUUAUAAAUUAAAUACUGUCAUCUCCAUUUUACAGGUUAAAAAGUAGAUCUAGAGAAAUGCUGUAAAUUGCAGGAUUUCAUCAAGGAGCAGUUGAUCCAAAAGCCUAAGAAGUUAUAUGAGGUCCUCCUGUGGAACAAUGCUUGGCAUAGCCCAGUUCCCCACUGCUAGACAUGGGAGAGGAUGGGGGAGGGAGGGAGUGUUGGACUUAGAAAUGGGGAUGGGUAGUCAGUUUAUCAUAGUAACAUCAAGUUAGAGACACCUAGGUUGGCUAGAGGAUAGUAGGUGGAUUUCAUCAGCAACUCAACAGGGAUUCAAAUACUAACUCUGUUUUGGGCCUUAGGCUGGGGACAGAGUGGGCCAGACAUGGCCUUUGACUUCACAGAACUCACAGUCAAUGAAGGUAAGAGUCAAGCAAAGUGACUACCUAGUAUGCUGGGCAUCUGUGGGAGCACAGAAGAGGACCCCUACCCAACCUGGAGGCUAAGGAAAUACUUCUUAGAUCAAUAAAGACCCUCACCUGUACACUCUGAUUAUUCGCCCCAAUGCUACUUAUGAGGUUAAAAUUGACAACCAGCAGGUGGCAGCUGGGGCUCUGGAGGAGGACUGGGACUUCUUGCCUCCCAGGAAAAUAAAAGACCCUACGCCCAGAAACCAAAGAAAUGGGAUGAACGCCUGCACAUAGAGGAUCUGGAAGACAAGAAACCUGACAUCAGAGGGCAUUUGGCUGGGAAGCAGUACUGGGAAGACUUUGAAUACAUCCUGGAUCCAGAAGCCAAGAAGCCAGAUAACUGGAAGGAGGCUAUGGAUGGGGAGUGGGAAAGGCCUCUGAUGCCAAAUCCGAAGUAUAAGGGAGAAUGGAAACCUUGGAUCAUUGAAAAUCCCAAUUACCAGGGGGAGUAGAUUCAUCCCAAAAUAGACAACCCUAAAUAUAAGCCUGACGCCACCAUUUGUCACUAUUAUAACAUUAGUGUUCUCAGCCUGGACCUUUGGCAGGUAAAGCCCUCUGAGCUCAGAGCC
rnacentral:lncRNA from 1 species